rnacentral:lncRNA from 1 species
GACAGUAUAGUAAGAACCAGUGUGAUGCCUGACCAAGCAGCUGUACAAAAUGACAGCUCAAAUGCUGGACAGGGUGAGGAGAUCCCAUCUUGUGGUCAGGAUGCUAAUAUUUGUGUUGUCCAGUCUGCUACAUACACCAAAGCAGAACCUCUAUUACAGGAACCGAUUCAUGAAAUAAACAAAAGUUCAUGUCAACCAUCUCUGGGCACAAAAGUUGACCCGACAGCAUUGCCGCUAGAAGCGACGAGCCAUGAUUGUAUUAACCCAUCUUGUGGUCAGGAUGCUAAUAUUUGUGUUGUCCAGUCUGCUACAUACACCAAAGCAGAACCUCUAUUACAGGAACCGAUUCAUGAAAUAAACAAAAGUUCAUGUCAACCAUCUCUGGGCACAAAAGUUGACCCGACAGCAUUGCCGCUAGAAGCGACGAGCCAUGAUUGUAUUAACAAUAGAAACUUGAACAUUGUUGCUGAAAAU